rnacentral:rRNA from 1 species
CAUCAUUGGUUCCUAUACGAUCACGGAAGUUAAGCAACGUCGAACCUGGUGAGUACCUAGAUGGGUGACCGCUUGGGAAUACCAGAUUCUGUAA